UUCCGGGUUGCAGUGAAUCAGGUUCCACGCGCUGCUGCAGAGAGAAAGAAACCAACGGUCCGGAAGCUUCUUUUAACGGAUUUUAAGAGCCUGGACUGGAUUCAUCUUCAUAAGGUCAGCAAACUAUGACUGGGACCGUUGUUUACUCGCGUGCUCAGCUGAUUGCGCUGUGCAAGCCGCAGCUUCUGCCUGGAGACAGACCUGUGAUCCCGGUGGAGCUACGGAGAAGGGCUCGGGGCUGCAGAUCGGGUGUCAAGCGGAGGGCUAAAACGAUGAAAUACAAAACCCUCGAUACCGGCGAUCAUAACAGGGAACGUGAGGUCUUGGCGAAUAAGACGGAUGAGCUCGGCGCGCUGGUAAUGACAGAGGAUCUUCCGUGAGAGCAGCCUCUUGUGUUUUACUGAGACGUGGCUGCACGCGGACUAUCCGCGAUUAACUGGUUUUGGUACGCAUGCAUGAGGCAGAUGUUCCGUAGGAGUGGCCUCGGAGUUGCCUCUCAGGACUCGUCUCGACUAACUAGGAAAUGCACUUUUCCAUCGCUUAGCCUCUGUCACGUUCUUUUUAUGUAACGCUGAUGUUUUAAAGACUAAACACGGAGGACUUUGCUGUAAAAUGUGAUACCUGUUCUGCAGUUGAGACGCCGAGGACACGGAGCGAGGACAAAGUAGGUGACUCUGCUGAUGCCUGUUCAAUAUACUACUAACUUCAAUAAAUACUUGACAAAAUGCUCUUGUUGUCAGUCUGAUAUUUAUGUUAUACGUCGAUGUGAGACCAGUUUACUCUUCAUAUAGUGUGUAAUGAAGCAUGUAGCCCGUUGUUUACAUCCAGCUCGCCCACCGCUGUCAGCUGGGAAACUGAUCGACUCCGAUUAAAUUGUGAUACAACAACACUACUCUCACAUCUCUUAUGUUUUAUAUUCGAGACUUCGUAACUAUACUCUACCCUGUGCAGCACUCACUGGUCCAGAUUAAACAUGACUGUUACCUGUUUUGUUACGAUAAGGACACGCAUUGAAUAACUACACACAGGAGUGAGCGCGUCUUUCGACACAUGACGGGGGAGCGGCUUGCUCCAGCCUUCAUUUAGGAUUUCGACGGCAUUAACGAAACGUUUUCCACCUUCAUGACGAACAUAUCACUUGUUCACUGAUGAUAAAAAAAUAUCAAACUACAAUAAAAUAAAAACACGGAUUUCUCAAAGAAUCGAACAGCUGACUUGUGCACCUGCUGUUCUGUUCAUUGCUUGUACUGCGGUCAACUCAGCCGACACUUACAUUUCUGUGCACCUAUAGACUGAUGUUGACGGUAAACGCAUUCGAUCGGGAGCGCGCGAGGGUUUUGAUAAAGUUAGCGGAAGGAUUCACGUGACAACAUCCGGUUUUGCAAAGUUAGCGGAAAGAACUACGUGAAACAUCCGUUUUUCAAAAUAAGAUGUCGACAAAUUGUACACUAGCAUAUACAAGUAAACAAUUAACUGAUUUUGAAUCUUUAUAGAUCGUUUCUGAGAUUUAGCUUAAAUUAUGCUGACAAAACGUUAAGGAAGAGUUUAUAAAAAUAAAACUCUUGUAUGUUAAGAAAUUCAAUAAAACUCAGACUUUUGUAGGUUAAAAAAUUCCUGUAUAUAGAUUUCCCCAACAGUUCCAGGAAAUGAAUGAUGCAGCGGUGUUCAAGACAGUCCUGACUUCCAUUAUCCUGGAAAUCAAACUUAUCUAUGGUCCCAUUUGGGAGAUAUUUCAAAGUAAAUGUUUACGAGAAAUCGGUCAUUUCUUUCAUGUUUGAGGUGCUUUAAAUAUGUUUUUCCUCAAAAGCCCUUUAAUUUGAAAUAUCUCCCAAUUGGGACCGUAGUUUGCAAGACACUGAAGCCUAUAAACUGUUAAUAAUUACAUCUUUUGUGUUUACAGGUAAAGGGGACGCCACAUGAACCGAAUCCACAGCUGGAUCUACGUGCUUUGCUGUUAAUUUUAUUCAUGCAGUGCUUUUAAUUAGCUGAUUAGUGAGUGAACAUCUGCAUAUUUCUAAGAUCAUCCUUACUUUAUAUAGUUUUAAUGAUGUGUAUGAACACUGAAAUUCACUGUUAAAUAAAGAUAGCCGAGUUAAACUAU